rnacentral:rRNA from 1 species
GAACGAGAAAGUGGAGCAAUCCAUGAGUAAAGUGGCGACCGGGUGAGUAACACGUGACUAACCUGCCCUUGAGUGGGGGAUAACCUCGGGAAACCGGGGCUAAUACCGCAUAACAUCGCAAGAUCAAAGGAGCAAUCCGCUGAAGGAGGGGGUCGCGGCUGAUUAGUUAGUUGGUGAGGUAACGGCUCACCAAGACGAAGAUCAGUAGCCGGCCUGAGAGGGCGCACGGCCACACUGGAACUGAAACACGGUCCAGACUCCUACGGGAGGCAGCAGUGGGGAAUUUUGCGCAAUGGGGGAAACCCUGACGCAGCAACGCCGCGUGGAGGAUGAAGUCCCUUGGGAUGUAAACUCCUUUCGAUCGGGAAGAUGAUGACGGUACCGGAAGAAGAAGCACCGGCUAACUCUGUG